UCCACAGGUGUGUCAUUUUGUGAUGAUUGU
rnacentral:piRNA from 1 species